CUUGAACGCUGGCGGCAUGCUUUACACAUGCAAGUCGAACGGUAACAGGCCGCAAGGUGCUGACGAGUGGCGAACGGGUGAGUAAUGCAUCGGAACGUGCCCAGUCGUGGGGGAUAACGCAGCGAAAGCUGCGCUAAUACCGCAUACGAUCUAUAGAUGAAAGCGGGGGACCGUAAGGACUCGCGCGAUUGUACCGGCCUAUGUCAGAGUAGGUAGUUGGUGGGGUAAAGGCUCACCAAGCCAACGAUCUGUAGAUGGUCUGAGAGGACGACCAGCCACACUGGGACUGAGACACGGCCCAGAUGCCGACGGGAGGCAGCAGUGGGGAAUGUUGGACAAUGGGUGCAAGCCUGAUCCAGAAAUGCCGCGUGCAGGAAGAAGGCCUUCGGGUUGUAAACUGCUUUUGUACGGAACGAAACGGUCCUGGUUAAUACCCGGGGCUAAUGACGGUACCGUAAGAAUAAGCACCGGCUAACUACGUGCCAGCCGCCGCAGUAACAC
rnacentral:rRNA from 1 species